GGUCGAGUGGUGUAGUGGUUUAUCACGUUCGCCUCACAGCUAUCAGUUGUUCGCGAAAGGUCCCGAGUUCAAUCCUCGGUUCGACCU